AUACGGAGGAUCCGAGCGUUAUCCGGAUUUAUUGGGUUUAAAGGGUGCGCAGGCGGCCAUUUAAGUCAGCGGUUAAAUCGUGGGGCUCAACCCCAUUCUGCCGUUGAUACUGGGUGGCUUGAUUGCGGUCGAGGUUGGCGGAAUUCGUUGUGUAGCGGUGAAAUGCAUAGAUAUGACGAAGAACACCGAUUGCGCAGGCAGCUGACCAGACCGCAAAUGACGCUCAUGCACGAAAGUGCGGGGAUCGAACAGGAUUAGAUACCCUGGUAGUCCGCACAGUAAACGAUGAAUACUUGUUUUCGGCGAUAUAAUGUCGGAGGCAAAGCGAAAGCGAUAAGUAUUCCACCUGGGGAGUACGCCGGCAACGGUGAAACUCAAAUGAAUUGACGGGG
rnacentral:rRNA from 1 species